AUGUGCGGUGACAGUGAGGCGGGGAGUCAGUGGCACUCACGGAAAAGCCAGAGUCUGGAAGGCUCUGGGGAUCAGGAUCUUUGUGUGUGCCAGGCAGAGGAUGCCUAUGAGUGCCACCGAGUCUCUGAUGUCCUUCCUUGGGAAACAUUUCACACGUAUUCUCACAACUUAUUUCUGGAGGAAUCAAGAAUAUUGCUAUUACAGGGAUCAGUAACAUUCAAAGAUGUGACUAUGGCCUUUACCCAGAAGGAAUGGGAGCAGCUAGAUCCUGCUCAGAGGAACCUGUAUAAGGAUGUGAUGCUGGAGAACUACAGCAACCUUGCCUCAAUGGGGUAUCAAGCUCCCAAACCAGACAUGAUCUCCAAGUUGGAAAAAGGAGAAGAGCCAUGGUUGGGGAAGGGCAAAAGACCCAGACAAGGUGGUCCCAGUGAAAUAGCAAGACCCAAGCAAAUAGGAACCAAUGGAAACGAGGUCCAGCAAGGUAAUGACCAGCUAGCGAACCACCAGGAAUCUCAAAAUAAACUCCUUAAGGAAGUUGCAUUCAAGAAAAGAAGUCUGACUAAGAAGAAAGGCCAUGAAUGUAGUUCACUGGGGGAAAAAAGUGUGAGUACAAAACACGUUCCUUCAAAAAAAAAGCUUAAAUUCGAUUCACAUGGAAAGAGUUUGAAACAGAAUUCAGACUUACCUGGUCGUAUAAGAAACUAUGCAAAAAAGAAACCUAGCAUAGCUAAAGAGCACAAGAAAUCAUUCAGCCAUAGCUUACCUGAUACAAAGAAAGAUAAAAAUCAAACUGGAAAGAAACAAAAAUUAUCCAACCAUAGCUUAUCUAAUAAGCAUGACAAAACUCAAACUGGCAAAAAACCCUAUGAAUGUAAUCAAUGUGGGAAGGUUCUCAGCCAUAAACAAGGACUCAUUGACCAUCAGAGAAUUCAUACUGGAGAGAAACCAUAUGAAUGUAAUGAAUGUGGGAUAGCCUUUAGCCAAAAGUCACACCUCGUUGUACAUCAAAGAACUCACACUGGAGAAAAACCAUAUGAAUGUAUGCAGUGUGGCAAAGCCCACAGUCAUAAACAUGCCCUUACCGACCAUCUGAGAGUUCAUACUGGGGAAAAGCCCUAUAAAUGUACUGAAUGUGGGAAAACCUUUAGACACAGCUCAAAUCUUGUUCAACAUGUGAGAUCUCAUACAGGUGAGAAGCCCUAUGAAUGUAAGGAAUGUGGAAAAUCCUUUAGGUAUAACUCAUCUCUUACUGAACAUGUGAGAACUCAUACAGGUGAAAUACCAUAUGAAUGUAAUGAAUGUGGAAAGGCCUUUAAGUAUAGCUCAUCCCUUACUAAACAUAUGAGAGUUCAUACAGGUGAGAAACCCUUUGAAUGUAAUGAAUGUGGGAAAGCUUUCAGCAAGAAGUCACACCUCAUUAUACAUCAAAGAACUCAUACUAAGGAGAAGCCCUAUAAAUGUAAUGAAUGUGGAAAAGCAUUUGGACAUAGCUCUUCUCUUACUUACCACAUGAGAACUCAUACAGGUGAAAGUCCUUUUGAAUGUAAUCAGUGUGGGAAGGCCUUCAAACAAAUUGAGGGCCUUACUCAACAUCAGAGAGUUCAUACUGGGGAGAAACCCUAUGAAUGUAAUGAAUGUGGGAAAGCUUUUAGCCAAAAGUCACACCUCAUUGUACAUCAGAGAACUCAUACUGGGGAGAAGCCUUUUGAAUGUAAUGAAUGUGGAAAGGCUUUCAAUGUGAAGUCACAACUUGUUAUACAUCAGAGAUCCCACACUGGAGAGAAACCCUAUGAAUGUAAUGAAUGUGGAAAAGCUUUCAAACAAAAUGCAUCCCUUACCAAACAUGUGAAAACUCAUUCAGAAGAAAAAUCUCAUGAGUGAAAUUAAUGUGGGAAGUCUUUUAAUUCAACUAAAGCUGACGUCCCAAAAGGAGAGCAAGGAAAGAGUGGGAUACACAAAAUAUUUGAAGAUAUAAUGGUUGAAAUUUCCCCAAAUUUGGUUGGAAAAAAUGAUACCAAAUGGAAACUCAGCUCUUCAGGAAGCACUGAAGAGCAUGAGAAAUGCAUUCUCCGCUGUACGGCUCCAACAUCUACUCGAAAUAUGGCGCCUCCCACUCGGACACACUUUCCGCUCGCCAGGCGCGGCCAUAUUAAUCCCCCCGGCUCCGGCGAACUAAACACCCUAUUGAACAGGAAUGUCCUGUUACAGGGAUUUGUGUCACUCAAGGAUGUCACUGUGGACUUCACUUGGGAGGAGUGGCAGCACCUCGACUCUGCUCAAAGAAACCUGUACAGGGAUGUGAUGCUGGAGAACUAUAGCAACCUUGUUUCAGUGGGAUGUCAGUCUCUGAAGUCAGAUGUAAUCUCAUUGAAGCAAGGAGAACCAUGGAUGAGGGAGGAAGAAAUCUCAAGUUGGGCCUACUCAGAGCUCAAGAGUGAAGUAACAUCAUAUACACUUGGGCUUUUUUCAGACUUUGAUAUUAGACCCAAGAUGAAAGAAUUAACACCAUGGAAGAGCAUUUCUGAACAAGUGAUACUCCAUAACAUGAUUGUAUACUCAACUUUUGAAGACUGGAGACUUGAGGAUGAGAUAAAUCACCAGGAAAACCAAGACAAGCUUUUGAAUCAAGUUGCAUUCAUUAACAAUAAGCCACUAACUGAGGAGAUAGAUCAUGAAUGUAACAAUGUACUGGGGAAAGGAAUUCAUCUGAACAGAACAUCUAAUGAACACAUCGGAGCCUUCAUGCAGAAAUCACACCUCUUUGUACAACCAAAAAUUCUAACCAGUGAGAAAUCAUAUAAAUGUAUUCAGUGUGGGAAAGCUUUCAGUGGAAAGUCAGGACUCAUUGUACAUCAGAGAAUUCAUACUGGGGAGAAACCAUACAAAUGUAACGAAUGUGGAAAAACCUUUAUUCAGAAGUCACAACUCACUGUACAUCAGAGAACUCAUACAGGAGAGAAACCCUAUAAAUGUAGUGAAUGUGGGAAAGCAUUCAUCCAGAAGUCAAACCUCAUUAUUCAUCAGAGGAUUCACACAGGGGAAAAACCCUAUGAAUGCAAUGAAUGUGGGAAAGCUUUCAUCAAGAAGUCAACGCUUAGUGUUCAUCAAAGAGCUCAUACUGGGGAGAAACCAUAUGAAUGCAGUGACUGUGGAAAAGCCUUCAUCUGGCGGUCACAGCUCGUUGUACAUAAGAGAAUUCAUACUGGGGAGAAACCCCAUGGAUGUAAAGAGUGUGGAAAAGCCUUCAACAGGAAGUCAGAACUAAGUGUACAUCACAGAAUUCACACUGGAGAGAAACCCUUUGAGUGUAAUGAAUGUAAAAAAGCCUUCAUUCAAAAGUCAGAUCUCAUUGUACAUCAGAGAACUCACACUGGGGACAAAAGGUAUCAAUGCUGUGAUUGUGGGAAAGCCUUUAUCCGGAGCUCACAGUUCAUUGAACAUCAGAGAAUUCAUACUGGGGAGAAACCCUAUGAAUGCAGUGAAUGCAGAAAAGCUUUUAUCCAGAAAUCACAACUCACUGUUCAUCAAAGAAUCCAUACUGGGAUGAAGCCGUAUGAAUGCACUGAGUGUGGAAAAGCCUUUAGUAAGAAGUCACACCUCACUGUACAUCAUAGAAUACACACUGGAGAAAAACCCUAUGACUGUAGUAUAUGUGGUAAAUCCUUCAGCCGGAACGCUAAUCUUAUUCAGCAUCAAAGAAUACACACUGGAGAGAAACCUUAUGAAUGCAAUGAAUGUGGAAAAGCUUUUAGUCAGAGCACUAAUCUUAUUCAACAUCAAAGAGUCCAUACUGGGGAGAAACCUUAUGAGUGUAAUGAAUGUGAAAAAACCUUUAGUCAUAGGUCAUCCCUUAGAAAUCAUGAGAGAAUUCAUACUGGAGAAAAACCCUAUCCUUGUGAUGAAUGUGGGAAGGCUUUCAGCCAUAUUUCAGCCCUUACUCAGCAUCACAGAAUUCAUACUGGAAAGAAACCAUAUGCAUGUAUUGAAUGUGGGAAAACCUUCAGCCGGAGCACACAUCUUAUUGAACAUCAGGGAAUUCAUUCUGCGGAGAAAUCGUACCAGUGUAAGGAAUGUCGGAAAGUUUUUUGCCAUAGCACGUCACUAAUCCGACAUCAGAGAACUCACACAGGAGAAAAGCCCUAUAAAUGUAAUGAAUGUGGAAAAGCCUUCAGUCACACCCCAGCCUUCAUUCAACAUCACAGAAUUCAUACUGGAGAGAAACCCUAUGAAUGUAAUGAAUGUGGAAAGGCCUUCAAUCGGAGCGCACAUCUUACUGAACACCAGAGAACUCAUACUGGAGAGAAACCUUAUGUUUGUAAGGAAUGUGGAAAAACCUUCAGUCGAAGCACACACCUUACUGAACAUCUAAAAAUUCAUUCUGGUGAGAAACCCUAUCGAUGUAAUCUAUGUCAAAAACUAUUUUGCUAUAUAGAACAUCACUAAUUCGACAUCAGAGAACUCAUACAGGAGAGAAACCCUACCAGCGUGAUGAAUGUGGGAAAUCUUUCAGCUUAAGCCCAGCUCUUACUCAACAUAAGCAAACACACACACGGGAGAAACAUCAAUGUAAUAAAUGUAGUGACGUUUUCUGUCAUAGUACAUCUUUAAUUCAACAUCAAAGAACUCAUUUUAGAAAUGAAAUCCUAUCAGAGUAA